rnacentral:lncRNA from 1 species
UCGCGUCAUUUUUAAUAAAAUUCACUUAUCUUUGCUUGCGGCAAGUUUACGGCGUCUUUUCCCCUCAUUUGUUCCCGGCAUUUACCAUAUUGGGGUCAGUGGCAUCAAAAUUGUCAAUGUUUACAGACGAUCCAUUUUCUAAGUUCAGUGGCUCUUUGCCACUUUGAUUUACAUGUAAGACUGUCAACUCGUUUCGUCGAGCAGUUUCGUGGUUUUCUUUGUAAAUCAUACAGAACUACAGCUGGACCUAAAGGCAAAUAACACAAACAGAAGGUGCCACGCACUAAUCCCUCUCGAAAGUAAUUUAGCAUAAAUAUUUUUACAUCAUUAAACAAGCCUACAAGCCCUUUGCAUAUUACUUAAACGUCUUUGCAUCAUCUGAAGCAGCGUCCAAACUGUGUUUAUGGCGCUUUCAACAAAACGGUUUGAUGACCGCGUUUCGCGUUUCGCCUUAAUAUUUCUGUUCUUUUUCUGCAUUGUGGGAUUUCUACUGGGAAUCGUGUUUAUUUAUCUGAAUGUGAACGAUCGAAUAAGCAAGCUCGAGCAGAAAGUUUUUCCCGCGAGCAACGAGGGAUCGGACUCAUUCACCACAGCGGCGUCUCGAGUUUAGCCGGUACACUGAACAAGGGACAUUAUACAUCUAGAUCAAUCUGCAAGAGUGGAAGAGAACUCAUAUGGAUCCCAAGGAUGAUUAAGAUAACGCGGCCAAGGUCUACUGACAAAUAGAAACAAAAGCCACUGAUUUUUUUGAACUGAGACAGGACUUCAGGCUAUGGAAAGCGACUCACUGCAUUCCAUGUGAAUAUUCAGUGUGUUCAGGUCUCUUUUUUUCCUUCAUUAUUUCAUUAUUCCACGAAGACAGGCCUCCACUGCGAAACUGGCACUCAUCCUCAAUCGCAUGUGGAGAUUGGAGAGUGUAAUUUAGGGAAUUAAAGUACGAUAUGCAAUGAUGCGGAGACAAUUCUCCCCUAGCUCAGUCAAGAGGGAUUGAAUCGAACUACAUGCAUGGAGACCCAACUGAAUACCAAUUCAGUCUUUGUUAGAGUCUGCACUUGAAAUGAUUGUAAAUAAUAGUUGAAACAGGACAGUCACGCUGGACUUGAACAGAGCGGUCAUACCGCUUGCUUUCCUCAUUCGACCGUCUUCUUGUUUACCUGUGUGCAUGCAUGGUUGGCAUCUACUCUGUUUUAUCAAACACAAACACACAGUCGUGCGUCUACCGUGUGAAACACCUCGGUCGAAAACAUAAAUAUUGGCUACGGUUUGCUGAUUUUUGGUGAUUCCAAUUAGCAAUAAGAAAGGACAUAGAGGUAGGAGUAGUCUUAGAUAUUACAUGAAAGGAAGUAAAAUCACAAAAGGCUUGCAUAUCGAUACAUAAACGCGAGUCCCUUACGAAGGUAAACUUUUUAAAGCCAUCACCGGCGAAGAGUGUUCCAAAAUAAAAGACAAUUUCGCUUUCUGGAUAUACUCUCACGUGAUUUCUUAUCAUAUCGUUAGUAUGGCGGUAAAAUUAGAGAAAAAGUACAGUAACAGCCACCAAACUUUCAGAAUGAUAAUACGAAGUACUACGAAUAUACAUACGUGUCAUGAACAAUUUGAAAGAUCAAUUCCAUAACACGUUUUGUAAUUGCCGGCGCAUUUUAGGCACCGUUUCUGUCGCUGGCAAUGGCUGACAAAUACUAGUAUAAUUCGCUAAGAGAUCUAGGAAAAAUCUUCGUUCAGGUAUGGCAGGUAAGUCCCAGAAUUUUCCUAUUUAGGAACUUUAGGGCUGAGCCGUGGAAAAUGUAACAUUGGAAUAUUAAAGCAUAUCUUCACCAUUA